GCUGACACAUCCCUGCCAAUCUCCGGCAGACCCUCCCUCCCAGGCCCUUCCACCUCCUGGACAGCAUCCAUGUUGAAGCUGCCUUCAACAUGGAUGCUGUCCAGGAAGUAGGAGGGUCUGGGAGGGAGGGUCUGCUGGAGAUUGGCCGGGAUGUGUCAG